UACGUAGGCGGAAAAUUAAGUCAGUAGUGAAAUCCUGCAGCUUAACUGUAGAACCGUUAUUGAUACUGGUUUUCUUGAAUAUUGUUGAGGUAGGUGGAAUGUGUAAUGUAGCGGUGAAAUGCUUAGAUAUUACACAGAACACCGAUUGCGAAGGCAGCUUACUAAGCAAUUAUUGACGCUGAGGUACGAAAGCGUGGGGAGCGAACAGGAUUAGAUACCCUGGUAGUCC
rnacentral:rRNA from 1 species